rnacentral:rRNA from 1 species
UUCGAAGAUACGCGAAGAACCUUACCUAGACUUGAAAUCCUUAGAAUCCUGUAGAGAUACGGGAGUGCUAGUUUACUAGAACUAAGUGACAGGUGCUGCACGGCUGUCGUCAGCUCGUGUCGUGAGAUGUUGGGUUAAGUCCCGCAACGAGCGCAACCCUCGUGAUUAGUUGCUAACAGUUCGGCUGAGCACUCUAAUCAGACUGCCUUCGUAAGGAGGAGGAAGGUGAGGACGACGUCAAGUCAUCAUGGCCCUUAUGUCUAGGGCUACACACGUGCUACAAUGGUUGGGACAAAGAGCAGCGAUACCGCGAGGUGGAGCAAAUCUUAAAACCCAUCUCAGUUCGGAUUGAAGUCUGCAACUCGACUUCAUGAAGCUGGAAUCGCUAGUAAUCGUAGAUCAGCAAUGCUACGGUGAAUACGUUCCCGGGUCUUGUACUCACCGCCCGUCACACCAUGGGAGUUGAUUUCGCUCGAAGCCGGAAUACUAAAUUAGUUACCGUCCA